rnacentral:rRNA from 1 species
CCUACGGGAGGCAGCAGUGAGGAAUAUUGGUCAAUGGGCGGGAGCCUGAACCAGCCAAGCCGCGUGAGGGAAGAAGGUCCAGCGUAUCGUAAACCUCUUUUGUCAGGGAACAAAGGCGGGGACUAGUCCCCGGAUGAGGGUACCUGAAGAAAAAGCAUCGGCUAACUCCGUGCCAGCAGCCGCGGUACUACGGGGGCUGCGAUCGUUAUCCGGAUUUCUUGGGUUUAAAGGGUGCGCAGGCGGCCUGGUAAGUCAGCGGUAAAAGCCCGGGGCUCAACCCCGGCGAGCCGUUGAAACUGGGGGGCGGGAGUUGGAGAGAAGUACGCGGAAUGCGCGGGGUAGCGGUGGAAUGCUUAGAUAUCGCGCAGAACCCCGAUUGCGAAGGCAGCGUACCGGCGCCACACUGACGCUGAGGCACGAAAGCGUGGGUAUCGAACAGGAUUAGAUACCCGGGUAGUC